rnacentral:rRNA from 1 species
GUGAGGAAUAUUGCGCAAUGGAGGCAACUCUGACGCAGCCAUGCCGCGUGCAGGAAGAAGGCGCUACGCGUUGUAAACUGCUUUUAACCGGGAAGAAACCCCAGGACGUGUCCUGGGUUGACGGUACCGGAGGAAUAAGCACCGGCUAACUUCGUGCCAGCAGCCGCGGUAAUACGAAGGGUGCAAGCGUUAUCCGGAUUCAUUGGGUUUAAAGGGUGCGUAGGCGGAGCGUUAAGUCAGUGGUGAAAUCCUGCAGCUUAACUGUAGACUUGCCAUUGAUACUGGCGCUCUUGAGUGCGCUUGAAGUGGGCGGAAUGUGCCGUGUAGCGGUGAAAUGCUUAGAUAUGGCACAGAAUACCAAUUGCGAAGGCAGCUCACUAAGGCGAUACUGACGCUGAGGCACGAAAGCGUGGGGAUCGAACAGGAUUAGAAACCCCAGUAGUCC